AUGCUCAAAAUUGAUCUUGCUAAGGCUUUUGAUCGGUUAGAAUGGAGCUUUAUAGUGUCUGCGCUUGCUCGUAAAGGGUUGCAUGGUCAUUUUAUUAAUUUGAUCUAUGCCUGCAUUUCUUCUCCGACGUUCUCUGUCAUCAUUAAUGGUCAGCCUUCACCUAAAUUUAAGAGUUAUAGAGGGAUUCGUCAAGGCUGUCCUAUGUCACCAUAUUUAUUUGUUCUCGCUAUUAAUGAAUUGUCUCUUGCUCUUAAUGAUGCUCUUGCUGCUCACCAACUGCAGGGGAUAUUACUUGGACCAAAUUGCCCUCCUAUUCACUCUCUUUUGUUUGCAGAUGAUCUACUUGUUUGUGGAAAGGCCACUGUUGAGGAAGCUACUUCCAUGGCUAAUCAUUCAUCACUUUUGUUCUAUUUCAGGUCAAACUCCAAAUUGGGCCAAAUCUACUAUAAUUUUCAGUGCCCAUGUUGA
rnacentral:rRNA from 1 species